CAGUAGCCGCGGUAAAACAGAGGGUGCAAGCGUUAAUCGGAAUUACUGGGCGUAAAGCGCGCGUAGGUGGUUUGUUAAGUUGGAUGUGAAAGCCCCGGGCUCAACCUGGGAACUGCAUCCAAAACUGGCAAGCUAGAGUACGGUAGAGGGUGGUGGAAUUUCCUGUGUAGCGGUGAAAUGCGUAGAUAUAGGAAGGAACAUCAGUGGCGAAGGCGACCACCUGGACUGAUACUGACACUGAGGUGCGAAAGCGUGGGGAGCAAACAGGAUUAGAGACCCCAGUAGUCCCUGUCUCUUAUAC
rnacentral:rRNA from 1 species